AGUUACAGCGGAACUUUCAAACCCAUUGGACGCGCGCGGAUAAAAGCAACUUACGCCAGACAACGCACAUGACACAAAAUAAUAGUACAAA